GGCACGAUGGCUGAGUGGUUAAGGCGUUGGUCUUAAGAUCCAAUGGAGAAAUCCUCGCGAGUUCGAACCUCGCUCGUGUCA
rfam:Fibulorhizoctonia sp. CBS 109695 unplaced genomic scaffold FIBSPscaffold_45, whole genome shotgun sequence.